CCGGAAGGAAGGGAGCUGACUCCGGCCACGUUGGCGCCUGAGGCAAAGCCCCGGCCGGCGCCCCGUCACAGCUCUUUUUGACAUCUCUGCACACUCCGGCCCAGUCGGCCCUCCCGUGGGGUCAAUUAAAUGUCUCAGGCCCAGGCAGGCAGGGAAGCCGAGGGCCGCCAAGACCAGCUCGAGGAACGGCUCGGAAAGGCCUCGGCGUGUUACCGACCUCCCCCCACGGCGAGUCACGUGGUGACGGCGGAGGGAGGCUGGGCACAUCCACACGCCCCUUCCUGGGGCCCUCCCGGAAGCACAGGGAGAGAAGUCCCGGUAGAGGCACCGGGACGGCUGGGGACCGCUGGAGGGUGGCCAGUAGACAGCCCAGGCUGGGGUGUGAGCUGAGGCCGCCGAGCUUCUCGGGGGAGGAGGUUUGGCUCCUUCACAGAGAGGCCGCCUGCACAAUGGAACUGGAUAAGCCAGAAGAGUAUUUGCUAAGCGCCACUGUGUGCCGGGCAGUGACUUCUACCCGAGGAUCCAAGAGGAAAGGGAGCCGCUCGGCCCUUACAGGGCUUCCGUUCCAACGGGACACGGACCGGGGGACGAGGGCAGGGUUUGGUCUGGGGAGGCACCAGCAUGGCGCCUGGAGCCACCAGAUUGCCAUAUUGGAGGAUACAAGUGUGAGCAGUACGGAUCCAUCCAAGAGGGAGCUCAUAAAAUGGAGGGAAUCUCAGCUCCAUGAGGAUAUCAUCUGUUUUGACAACUUUGCAUUCUCUUUAUACAAUUGCAUCACGUUAGGUGCUGAAAUGUCUCCUCUCUCCGCAUGCACUCUCACCCUUAAAACUUCUCCAAAACAUAUGUGACGCGAAACAAAGUAACGGAAGAAUUUUUAUUUUUCGUUCAAGUCUGGAAUUUCGCCCUCAUAGGAGCUCCUGGGGAGUAUAUAUCCUUUCUUAGUUAUUUACAUGCUGUGUUACCCAUCCCAUCCCAUCCCUGUUGGAAUGUAAACUCCUGGAGGACAGGGAAUAUUGUUGCUUUUCUUAGCAUCCCUACCGCAUAGAAUUUCUAUGACACUUGAAGAUUUUGCCAAG
rnacentral:lncRNA from 1 species